rnacentral:rRNA from 1 species
GGGUGAGUAACACGUGGGCAACCUGCCUGUAAGACUGGGAUAACUUCGGGAAACCGGAGCUAAUACCGGAUAAUCCUUUUCUACUCAUGUAGAAAAGCUGAAAGACGGUUUACGCUGUCACUUACAGAUGGGCCCGCGGCGCAUUAGCUAGUUGGUGAGGUAACGGCUCACCAAGGCGACGAUGCGUAGCCGACCUGAGAGGGUGAUCGGCCACACUGGGACUGAGACACGGCCCAGACUCCUACGGGAGGCAGCAGUAGGGAAUCUUCCGCAAUGGACGAAAGUCUGACGGAGCAACGCCGCGUGAGUGAUGAAGGUUUUCGGAUCGUAAAACUCUGUUGUUAGGGAAGAACAAGUACGAGAGUAACUGCUCGUACCUUGACGGUACCUAACCAGAAAGCCACGGCUAACUACGUGCCAGCAGCCGCGGUAAUACGUAGGUGGCAAGCGUUGUCCGGAAUUAUUGGGCGUAAAGCGCGCGCAGGCGGUCCUUUAAGUCUGAUGUGAAAGCCCACGGCUCAACCGUGGAGGGUCAUUGGAAACUGGGGGACUUGAGUGCAGAAGAGGAGAGUGGAAUUCCACGUGUA